rnacentral:rRNA from 1 species
UACGGAGGGUGCGAGCGUUGUCCGGAAUCACUGGGCGUAAAGGGCGCGUAGGCGGCCUGAUAAGUAGGGGGUGAAAUCCUGCGGCUUAACCGCAGGGCUGCCUUCUAAACUGUCAGGCUUGAGCACAGUAGAGGCAGGUGGAAUUCCCGGUGUAGCGGCGGAAUGCGUAGAGAUCGGGAAGAACAUCAGUGGCGAAGGCGGCCUGCUGGGCUGUUGCUGACGCUGAGGCGCGACAGCGUGGGGAGCAAACAGG